UACGGGAGGCAGCAGUGGGGUAUAUUGCACAAUGGGCGCAAGCCUGAUGCAGCCAUACCGGGUGUAUGAAGAAGGCAUUGGGGUUGUAAAGUACUUUCAGCGGGGAGGAAGGGAGUAAAGUUAAUACCUGAGGUCAUUGACGUUACCCGCAAAAAAACCACCGGCUACAUCCGUGCCAGCAGCCGCGGUAAUACA
rnacentral:rRNA from 1 species